rnacentral:rRNA from 1 species
ACAUGCAAGUCGAGCGGACAGAUGGGAGCUUGCUCCCUGAUGUUAGCGGCGGACGGGUGAGUAACACGUGGGUAACCUGCCUGUAAGACUGGGAUAACUCCGGGAAACCGGGGCUAAUACCGGAUGGUUGUUUGAACCGCACGGUCCAACUUCCAAACUGCCUUCGGAUCUGACAUACAAAUGGAGCCACGGCGUAAUACCCAGGUGUUGACUGCCCUUCGCACCAGCGCUACGAUGCGUAGCCGACCUGAGAGCCUGAUCGGCCACGCUGAGACUGAGACACCCCCCAUACUCCCAGUUAGGCACCAGUAGCAAUCUUCCGCACCGAACGAAAGUCUGACGAAGCAACGCCGCGGGAGUGAUGAAUGUUUCAGAUCGCAAAGCUCUGUUGUUAGGGAAUAACAGUACCGUUCGACUACGGGUGCACCUUGACGGUACCUAACCGUCAAACCUCGGCUAACUACGUGCCAGCCCCGCGCUAAUACGUACCUCGCAAUCGUUCCACAUAAUAUUGUGCGUAACGGCUGGCAGGCGCCUCUUAAUUCCGAU